ensembl:lncRNA
CCUCAGUGCCUGCUGCACCCUCUGCUGUGAGAAACUCAUGUACAAUGUGCAUGAAGUCAGUGCCUUCAGGGAGGCCUUGAAGCUGUACAGGUUUUUCAAAGCUUCACUUGGGAAAUAAACCAAAACCCCACAGAAAGCAAACCCCCAAAACCCCAGAGGUGGCUGCUGGGGCAAGUAUCCAAGAAGAUGUUGGUGUUUGGAGCCCUGGUCAUCUUUCACUGCUGUUUCUGGCAGCUGCACUCGCUGCCUGCCUGUGGCUGCUGUCUGGUGUGGAGUGGCAGAGCUCCUGCUGGGAUCCCCAUCUGUGUGCUGAGCCUUGGAAGGCUCUUCCUUCCUAGCUGUCAGCUUCUGUGGGGUCUCACAUUACCUCCACCAUCACACCCUUGUGACAUGGGGAGAUGUUUCACUUGGAAGACAUCAAAGCAAGAUCACAACAGUUCUGAGGCUUGGACGUCAGCCUGCUCCAUAAUCAGAGGAAGCAAAAGGUGAAAUCCUUGAAUAAACCUUUUUAAAAGAC